rnacentral:rRNA from 1 species
GAUUUCUGAAUGGGGAAACCCACUUACCAUAAGGUAAGUAUCUUGUACUUGUACAAGAAGCGAACGAGGGGAAGUGAAACAUCUCAGUACCCUUAGGAAUAGACAUCAAUUGAGAUUCCCCUAGUAGCGGCGAGCGAACGGGGAGAAGCCGAUUAAUGCUAAUGUAGAAGAACAGCGUGGGAAAGCUGACCAUAGUAGGUGAUAGUCCUGUAUUCGAAACAUUAGCGUUAACAUAUUAAGUAGAGCGGGGCACGAGAAAUCCUGUUUGAAGAUGGGGGGACCAUCCUCCAAGGCUAAAUACUCCUGACUGACCGAUAGUGAACCAGUACCGUGAGGGAAAGGCGAAAAGAACCCCUGUGAGGGGAGUGAAAUAGAACCUGAAACCGUGUGCGUACAAGCAGUGGGAGCCCACUUGUUGGGUGACCGCGUACCUUUUGUAUAAUGGGUCAGCGACUUAUAUUCUGUAGCAAGGUUAACCGUUUAGGGGAGCCGUAGGGAAACCGAGUCUUAAUAGGGCGUCUAGUUGCAGGGUAUAGACCCGAAACCGAGUGAUCUAUCCAUGAGCAGGUUGAAAGUGCCGUAACAGGCACCGGAGGACCGAACCCACUGUCGUUGAAAAGCCAGGGGAUGACUUGUGGAUAGGGGUGAAAGGCUAAUCAAACUCGGUGAUAGCUGGUUCUCCCCGAAAGCUAUUUAGGU